GGGUCUAUGAUGAGAACUCCUAUGGUCCUGAAGAGAAGAUGACCUAAACGUUAUGCUCAGUAGGAUUACACUGAGGCCC